rnacentral:rRNA from 1 species
GAUGAACGCUGGCGGCGUGCCUAAUACAUGCAAGUCGAGCGAACAGACGAGGAGCUUGCUCCUCUGACGUUAGCGGCGGACGGGUGAGUAACACGUGGAUAACCUACCUAUAAGACUGGGAUAACUUCGGGAACCCGGAGCUAAUACCGGAUCAUAUAUUGAACCGCAUGGUUCAAUAGUGAAAGACGGUUUUGCUGUCACUUAUAGAUGGAUCCGCGCCGCAUUAGCUAGUUGGUAAGGUAACGGCUUACCAAGGCAAUGAUGCGUAGCCGACCUGAGAGGGUGAUCGGCCACACUGGAACUGAGACACGGUCCAGACUCCUACGGGAGGCAGCAGUAGGGAAUCUUCCGCAAUGGGCGAAAGCCUGACGGAGCAACGCCGCGUGAGUGAUGAAGGUCUUCGGAUCGUAAAACUCUGUUAUUAGGGAAGAACAAAUGUGUAAGUAACUAUGCACGUCUUGACGGUACCUAAUCAGAAAGCCACGGCUAACUACGUG